AUAAAGUUUUAUUCUAGCUUAGAAAAUUUAUUGAUAUAUUAAAAUUACAUAUAAAUUUUUAUUAGAAAAAAUAGUAAUAGUAAUUAAUUUUAAUUAUUAAAGUAAUUUAGAAUUAGAAAUAUAUUAAAGUUUAAACAAAAUUUGUGCCAGCAGUUGCGGUUAUACAAAUUAAGCAAUAAAUUUUUAUUUAAUUAUAAUAAAUUAUUUUAUUGAAAUUUUAUGUACAUAUAUUAAGUAAAAUUUUAAAUGUAUUAUAGAUUUUUAUUUUUAAAAAAAUAGUUAUUAAAUUUUAUUAAAAACUAGGAUUAGAUACCCUAUUAUUAAAAUGUAAAUUAUAAAAUUAAAUUAUUAACAGUUAUGGUCUCUAAAUUUAAAGAUUUUGGCGGUAUUUUAGUCUUUUCAGAGGAAUCUGUUAAUAUAAAUUGAUAUUCCACGAUAGAAUUAACUUAAUUUAUAAAUUUAUAUAUCGUUGUAGUUAAAUUUUUUAAAAGAAUUAAAAUGUUUAAUAAAUAUAAUUGUAUAGUAAAUCAGAUCAAGAUGUAGUGAAUAAUUAAGAAUUAAUGGAUUACAUUAUUAAAAAAUUUGGUUCUAUAGUUUUAAAUUAUAGAUAAAUUGGAUUUGACAGUAAUAGAUAAACUAUUAUUUUAUGAUUUAGCUCUAAAAUAUGCACAUAUUGCCCGUCGCUUUCAUUUAAAAUGAAAUAAGUCGUAACAUAGUAGAUUUACUGGAAAGUGAAUCUUGAAUGU
rnacentral:ncRNA from 1 species